GGGGAGUCCACACAUCAGGUUAAUUUUAAUUUUGUCUCUGCCACCUUGCAGCUGCUUGUGCUCAGACCAGCCACCCAUCUCAGCUGGCUUAAGGCUGGGGCUAGGUCCAGUGUCUUCUUGAGGCCUCUCCUGCUCAAACUUCAGCAUCUAGAAAAUGGCAAGUCCUCAGCAGAACAGAGCCUUGGGUCAACCCAAACCUGAAGCCCAGAGAGCAGUUACCAAGAAAGGAAGUGCUGAUGGAGCACACAGAAGAGUAAGCCAUCAUCCGGUGUCAAUCUGGAAGAUUUCCUAAAAAGCACUGGCUCCGGACGCGCAGGCUCAGCGGCCAUGGCUC